CUACGGGGGGCACCAGUGAGGAAUUUUGCGCAAUGGGGGAAACCCUGACGCAGCAACGCCGCGUGAGCGAAGAAGGCCCUCGGGUCGUAAAGCUCUGUCAAGUGGGAAAAAAAUUUUUUGAUCAAUAGUCAAAAGACUUGAUGGUACCACUGGAGGAAGCACCGGCUAACUCCGUGCCAGCAGCCGCGGUAAUGGCGGAGGGUGCAAGCGUUGGUCGGAUUUACUGGGCGUAAAGAGCGUGUAGGCGGUUUAGCAAGUCAGAUGUGAAAGCCCUGGGCUCAACCCGGGAAGUGCAUUUGAAACUGCUUCACUAGAGUAUGGGAGAGGAGAUUGGAAUUCCUUGUGUAGAGGUGAAAUUCGUAGAUAUCAGGAGGAACACCCGUGGCGAAGGCGAUUCUCUGGACCAAUACUGACGCUGAGACGCGAAAGCGUGGGGAGCAAACAGGAUUAGAUACCCGCGUAGUC
rnacentral:rRNA from 1 species